AUGCAAAUGAGCGCAAUUCUGUUGGAGCAAGAGAGGCAACAGAUCUGCGAUGACAUUCCUCCAGACUCGUCUUUGGGGGAGGAAGGGAAGGGAGGAGAGGGGAAGCUGCAGAGUGAGGUGGACUUACAACCACAGCCAGAGCAACAGGAGGAAGAGCCACAGACUGCGUCGCCGGAGCCGCAGUCGGAGCCCCAACCACAGACUCAGCCGCCUGAAACCAAACCUGAGCCAGAACCUCAGCCUCCACCAGAGCCUGAGCCUCAACCCGAACCUGAUCCUCAACCCGAACCCGAGUCUCCGCCUGAACCAGAUCAAGAGCCUCCACCCGAAUGGGAGCCUCCCCCCGAGCCACAGGCCGAGGUUCCAAGCGAGGGAGCGGACGUGGAGUUCCCUGAAUCACCUUGCGAAGAAGACCAGCACAAGUUGGGUGAACAAAUGGAAACCAAUAGAGAAGAAGAGGAGGAGGCUGCACGGGCCAGACUGCCGGAGGAGGCAUCGCAGGAGGAGGAGGAGGAGGAGGAGGAAGGGGGAGGAGCUAAAGGAGGUGGGACAGGGAGGAGAGCCAGCCUGCAUCACACGGCCUCACCUUUGAGGGUGCAGCGCAACGGCGCCGGUUCCCAUUCUGCCACCUCCGACUAUGAGCUCUCGCUUGACCUCAAAAACAAGCAGGUAGGGUGGUGUCGGGUGGGUGGGAGGGGGUGAGGAUUGAUGUGUGACAACUUGUUGGGGCUUUGGGGUAAAAGCUGAAGCAAUUUUUUGGAUUUAAAAAAAAAAUCUGUCAUAUUAAUCUCUGUUGGUGCUUCUGGACCCCCUGUGAACUGUACAAACUAAUGACAAGCUUCCUUUUCUUCAUGAUCCCAUUUAUCAUCAUCAUCACCAUCACCAUCAUCAACGUCAUCGUCAUCAUCACCAAUGUGAUUUUAUCUGUGUUGAAGAUUUAUCUUCUGGUGUCUUGAUGUUUGAUUCAGCUGGCCCUCAACGCCGCCCCUUCAGGCCAAAAUAAAUGUCGACCUUUGACCAUUUGCACGUGAAAUGAGUGUGAUCCCUUCAUCUUUUUACAGCUGUCCUAAGCGGAUUUGAAACUGACGCGCUGCUUCUGUGCCCAUGUCUCAAACGUGUCUCUCCCUGUUCUCAUGUGUGUGUGUUCUUGUCGUGCCGUUCGUCAGGAGCUUGGAAAGCAUUCUGUUAUCAUCUCCAUUUCAAGACCCAUCAAACAUUCGCCAUCUGUUUCCAUUACACUCAAUUUAAUCAACACUCUUCGACCCGUGGAUCUUCGGCAAGGUAAGGCUCGAUCAGGCUGCGGAGGUUGAAGGAAGCAGUUUUAGGUUCUAGAAAGUGAGCGACCGAAAGAUGAAAGACAUCAAAGCUCUCUAGAAGUCAGAUCAAAGCAACUUUUCCCCAAGAAGAGGCCUUAUUUUCCAUCAGAACUGAGUGGUCUUUAUGGUGUUGAUUGUUGCUGCAUACACUAGCUGACAGCUUAUAGAAUUGCUUUAAUUCCCUGGUCCAAGUUUUCAUAGAUCUGUGGUUCAUUUGUGAAACACGAAGGUUGCUGCCCACCUUCCGGUCCUUGACUUUGAUUACUGUCGCCGUAAUUGCGCUCCAGUUGGCCGCACUUAAUCAAUGCAGUGGAUUUGUUUACCAAUUGUUCUGGGGUCAUUGCUUACGCCGCUCUACCUCCGGGCACCGUGCGAGAUGGCGUUGAUGAAGCUAUUUAAAAGUAGCACCGUUCAGGGCAUUUGGACUAUGUCCUCAAUAUUUGUUUCAAUAAAAUGAAGAAGGAAAUUACCAAAUUACCAGAUUUAACGACUGGAACGUGGUUUGUUGUGACGCACUUUGAGUUAUGUGGUUUGUUCCUGUUUCCCUCCCACUCAGUUCCAUUUUUACUCCCUUCCGACUUUAUUUUCUCGUUCAGUAUAUCUGUUUUCAAGAUCAAAGCUCGGCUCCUACACGUGUCCCCACCUCUCUCACACUUUCGAUCCGACAUCCGAAAGCCCCUGACGCCUCCACACCGACGCCACCGGAGAUGUGCAAUGACAGGGGCAUUGAUCUCACGUCGUACAGUCGGGGGCAGUGAAGCUUGAUGCAUUGACAGACCAUCGUCAUUGUAAUUGGAUCUGCGGGGUGAGGCCGGGAUUUCUGGGAAAAGGAAUUUGAACCGCAGUUCAACAUUUUUGCAGUUUUACACAACCUGGUUUGAAUGAAAGAUCCCCGUUAUUCUAGAAUUAGAUCUAAGAGUCCUCAGACGCAGGAUUCUGAUCAAUCCUCACCUCAUUUUCCACCAUCACAAGGCCAUGAAUAACAACACAUCAGCCAACAACUUCAGCUCUUUCACGCGUCCUCGGCUCUCGUCUGGUUCUUGCACUGGUUCCUCCUGUUAUGUAAUCCUCUAAUUAAUCGGGCAGAUGUUUCUGGGCUCCGAGACGAUCCGCAUGAGCGUGAAGGCUAAUAAUCACAGCUUUGCACCACAGUUGUCCUCAGCAGUGCAUUUUUUUGGACAUUUUAGAGUGGGGCGGUGACGUACCUCACGCUUGAUUGAUUGAAAGGUGUCUGUAUCCAUGUCCAAUUGCGCUCUGCAGAGCUGUGCUUGCUUAGCACCUUUGAUCCUCCCCUCAUUUUGAACUGAGCGUGAGGUCAGCAAGAGGCCAAACUUCCUGUCAAAGCUGAUUUAGAGAUCGCAGCAUCGCAGAGCUGAUCCGAUUUCUCCGGAAUAAUCUCAAUCCAUCGGCACUUAACCUGCUGAUUGGACGUGGAAUUGACAGAGGAGGUUUUCAACGGUGUCAGUCACUCCUUUAUCUUCCGCAUCUCCUAACCGGGACACUUUUAUCGGCUUUUCCAGCAGCACUGCUGCUAAACUACCGUUAUCGCCAAAUGAAGUUCCUAAAAAUCCACAAGCCUCAUAUUUUUACUGGGAUUACCGGAGCCGUGCGUGUCACAUUGUUUACAUCCGUUGUUGAAAUACUACUGUGACGCUAAAACGGAGCAGAGCCAGCUCCAGAGAUCUCGCCGACAUUCAGCCCCACAAAUUAUUCACGGUGGUGUAUUUAGCUCUUCAGCUGUAAGCCUUGAUGCCGUGUGCCGCCCAGACCACCUCCACCUUGACGCUUUGCUCCAUCAUGACUGAUUGGGUUCAGUCAUUUUAUCCUCCUACCAACUAUGGCUGGUGAAAGGACGGUGCAGACAGGUCAUGAUUACUGAGAUGGAGACCUUGUUGGAGGCUACACAGCACUGGUAUGAACACCAAAUGGCCCAACACAUGUAGAAAUUCCCCCUAAUAGUAGGAUACUGGGUGCAGAAUAUCCUAAAUGUUCUCCCUCCAAAAAGUCCUGACACAUUUCAGCGGCUCAAGAACCUUUUUCAAAGCUUUGGAUUUAUCAGCUCUUACGUGUUCAAUAGAAAGCCAAAGCCUUGCUGCUAAUGUCUCCAAAAAUUGAUUAUACGACUACCGGUAUCUUUUACCCACAUGACAGCAAAUCGAGCCUUAUGGCGUGCCGUAAUUCCAGGUCAUCAGUGGCGUUUAUCAGAUAGGCUCAAGAAAGCAACAUGUGCUGAAUGCUUUAUUCAUCAUCUCCAGCCCGAAUCACGCAGGAGGCGAUACAGACAAGUCCGACUGCCAUAUUUAAUCUACCCCUGCCGGCUCUCAGCCCUCCUUCCUCGCUCUGAAGGGCACCUUUGCGGUGGAAGUUCGGAAACUGGCUUUGAGGGACACCUUUGCGAGAAAUUAGGUCGAUCAAAGCACCAGCUUUAUUUUGGGGAUGCAGCUGUGGUGAUAAGGCUAAUCACUUCCAGAGCCCCCGCAGUGGGGGAGAGAUCCUGAAUAAGAAGCUGUGAAUAUUCAGGUCAAGUCUGACCCUUUGGCCGGAGCCAAGAGUGAUGGAGAAGUCGCCAUUAGCAGAUUAAGCAGCGGCCCAAAAUGACACCCAGAUCCCACCUUAAUAUGUUCGCUUUGUCCAACUUGCGCAGCCUCUGCAGUGAAGUAUAAAUGGAGUAGAUAAGAUGGAUUCUCAGUGUCAGUCCAUUCUUCUAAAGCGCUUUUGUGUGAUUCCAUUAGUCUGGUGACAGCAGCACAGUUUAACCGGCCACUUAUCACGAAACCUUAAAGCAUUACAGAAAAUCAGGAGACUGUGUCAGGGUGUUUGGGCGACUGUAGGGGCAUUAAAGGAGAUCUGAGGCUGAAAGUCACAUCCACAAGCACGCAUUGGUUCAAGACGAGAGGCUACAUCUUAAAGAUAACAGUCCGGGAUGUAGCCGAGACCUCUUUGUUUAAAGGUCGUGCUAUUUUAAAGUGUGUGUCGACUGUAUAUUUAGACCCAAAAGAGCUCGAUGUGAUGCUGAAGUUCUUCUAAAGCGUCAUUCCAGGACUGAAACAGAAUUAUAGCCAUUGAUACAGUUUGGAUGAAAAGGAUAUCAGAGUGACUAGAGAAGAUAAGGGCUCUUUCUUGCCUCUUCAGCAUGACAAUUGUUCUGGGUAACUCAAAGAGGGCCCCAUCA
rnacentral:lncRNA from 1 species